GACGAACGCUGGCGGCGUGCUUAACACAUGCAAGUCGAACGGAAAGGCCCUGCUUGCAGGGUACUCGAGUGGCGAACGGGUGAGUAACACGUGGGUGAUCUGCCCUGCACUUCGGGAUAAGCCUGGGAAACUGGGUCUAAUACCGGAUAGGAGCCAUUUUUAGUGUGAUGGUUGGAAAGUUUUUUCGGUGUAGGAUGAGCUCGCGGCCUAUCAGCUUGUUGGUGGGGUAAUGGCCUACCAAGGCGGCGACGGGUAGCCGGCCUGAGAGGGUGGACGGCCACAUUGGGACUGAGAGACGGCCCAGACUCCUACGGGAGGCAGCAGGGGGGAAUAUUGCACAAUGGGCGCAAGCCUGAUGCAGCGACGCCGCGGGGGGGAUGACGGCCUUCGGGUUGGAAACUCCUUUCGCUAGGGACGAAGCUUUUUGUGACGGUACCUAGAGAAGAAGCACCGGCUAACUACGUG
rnacentral:rRNA from 1 species